AGAGUUUGAUCCUGGCUCAGGAUGAACGCUAGCUACAGGCUUAACACAUGCAAGUCGAGGGGCAGCAUGAACUUAGCUUGCUAAGUUUGAUGGCGACCGGCGCACGGGUGAGUAACACGUAUCCAACCUGCCGAUGACUCGGGGAUAGCCUUUCGAAAGAAAGAUUAAUACCCGAUGGCAUAGUUCUUCCGCAUGGUAGAACUAUUAAAGAAUUUCGGUCAUCGAUGGGGAUGCGUUCCAUUAGGUUGUUGGCGGGGUAACGGCCCACCAAGCCUUCGAUGGAUAGGGGUUCUGAGAGGAAGGUCCCCCACAUUGGAACUGAGACACGGUCCAAACUCCUACGGGAGGCAGCAGUGAGGAAUAUUGGUCAAUGGGCGAUGGCCUGAACCAGCCAAGUAGCGUGAAGGAUGACUGCCCUAUGGGUUGUAAACUUCUUUUAUAUGGGAAUAAAGUUUUCCACGUGUGGAAUUUUGUAUGUACCAUAUGAAUAAGGAUCGGCUAACUCCGUGCCAGCAGCCGCGGUAAUACGGAGGAUCCGAGCGUUAUCCGGAUUUAUUGGGUUUAAAGGGAGCGUAGGCGGACGCUUAAGUCAGUUGUGAAAGUUUGCGGCUCAACCGUAAAAUUGCAGUUGAUACUGGGUGUCUUGAGUACAGUAGAGGCAGGCGGAAUUCGUGGUGUAGCGGUGAAAUGCUUAGAUAUCACGAAGAACUCCGAUUGCGAAGGCAGCUCACUAGACUGUCACUGACACUGAUGCUCGAAAGUGUGGGUAUCAAACAGGAUUAGAUACCCUGGUAGUCCACACAGUAAACGAUGAAUACUCGCUGUUUGCGAUAUACAGUAAGCGGCCAAGCGAAAGCGUUAAGUAUUCCACCUGGGGAGUACGCCGGCAACGGUGAAACUCAAAGGAAUUGACGGGGGCCCGCACAAGCGGAGGAACAUGUGGUUUAAUUCGAUGAUACGCGAGGAACCUUACCCGGGCUCAAACGACACAGGACAGCAGAUGAAAGUCUGUCUCCAGCAAUGGUCUGUGUCGAGGUGCUGCAUGGUUGUCGUCAGCUCGUGCCGUGAGGUGUCGGCUUAAGUGCCAUAACGAGCGCAACCCUUGUUGUCAGUUACUAACAGGUGAUGCUGAGGACUCUGACAAGACUGCCAUCGUAAGAUGUGAGGAAGGUGGGGAUGACGUCAAAUCAGCACGGCCCUUACGUCCGGGGCUACACACGUGUUACAAUGGUAGGUACAGAGGGCAGCUACCCAGCGAUGGGAUGCGAAUCUCGAAAGCCUAUCUCAGUUCGGAUUGGAGGCUGAAACCCGCCUCCAUGAAGUUGGAUUCGCUAGUAAUCGCGCAUCAGCCAUGGCGCGGUGAAUACGUUCCCGGGCCUUGUACACACCGCCCGUCAAGCCAUGAAAGCCGGGGGUACCUGAAGUACGUAACCGCAAGGAGCGUCCUAGGGUAAAACUGGUAAUUGGGGCUAAGUCGUAACAAGGUAGCCGUACCGGAAGGUGCGGCUG
rnacentral:rRNA from 1 species